rnacentral:rRNA from 1 species
UACGGAGGGUGCGAGCGUUGUCCGGAAUCACUGGGCGUAAAGGGCGCGUAGGCGGCUCGGUAAGUAGGGGGUGAAAUCCUGCGGCUUAACCGCAGGGCUGCCUUCUAAACUGUCGAGCUUGAGCACGGUAGAGGCAGAUGGAAUUCCCGGUGUAGCGGUGGAAUGCGUAGAGAUCGGGAAGAACAUCAGUGGCGAAGGCGGUCUGCUGGGCCGUUGCUGACGCUGAGGCGCGACAGCGUGGGGGAGCAAACAGG